rnacentral:rRNA from 1 species
AAAUUCUUCCGCUCAACGGAAGAUCCUCUGAAGAGACUGCGCGACUUGGGACUGGGUGAGGUUGAAUGUACUUCUGGGGUAGGGGUAAAAUCCUGUAAUCCUAGAAGGACAACCGGUGGCGAAGGCGUUCAACUAGAACAGAUCCGACGGUGAGGAACGAGGGCUAGGGGAGCAAACCGGAUUAGAUACCCGGGUAGUCCUAGCUGUAAACACUGCCCACUUGGUGUUGCCUCUUCGUUGAGGGGAGGCAGUGCCGGAGCGAAGGUGUUAAGUGGGCCGCUUGGGGAGUAUGGUCGCAAGGCUGAAACUUAAAGGAAUUGGCGGGGGAGCACCGCAACGGGAGGAGCGUGCGGUUUAAUUGGAUUCAACGCCGGAAAACUCACCGGGAGCGACCUUCGGAUGAGAGCCAACCUGACGAGCUUGCUCGAUAGAAGGAGAGGUGGUGCAUGGCCGUCGUCAGCUCGUACCGUAGGGCGUUCACUUAAGUGUGAUAACGAGCGAGACCCCCAUCUUUAAUUGCCAGUUCGUCUUUGCGGGCGAAGGCACUUUAGAGGGACCGCCAGCGCUAAGCUGGAGGAAGGAGGGGUCGACGGCAGGUCAGUACGCCCCGAAUCUCCCGGGCAACACGCGCGCUACAAAGGACAGGACAAUGAGAUGCAACCUCGAAAGGGGAAGCUAACCUCGAAACCUGUUCGUAGUUAGGAUUGAGGGCUGUAACUCGCCCUCAUGAAUGUGGAUUCCGUAGUAAUCGCGGGUCAACAGCCCGCGGUGAAUAUGCCCCUGCUCCUUGCACACACCGCCCGUCAAACCAUCCGAGCUGGUGUUGGAUGAGGGUAUGUCCGAGAGGGCAAACUCAAAUCUGAUGUCAGUGAGGAGGGUUAAGUCGUAACAAGGUAUCCGUAGGGGAACCUGCGGAUGGAUCACCUCCU